rnacentral:rRNA from 1 species
GAUGAACGCUGGCGGCGUGCCUAAUACAUGCAAGUCGAGCGAACAGACGAGGAGCUUGCUCCUCUGACGUUAGCGGCGGACGGGUGAGUAACACGUGGAUAACCUACCUAUAAGACUGGGAUAACUUCGGGAAACCGGAGCUAAUACCGGAUAAUAUAUUGAACCGCAUGGUUCAAUAGUGAAAGACGGUUUUGCUGUCACUUAUAGAUGGAUCCGCGCCGCAUUAGCUAGUUGGUAAGGUAACGGCUUACCAAGGCAACGAUGCGUAGCCGACCUGAGAGGGUGAUCGGCCACACUGGAACUGAGACACGGUCCAGACUCCUACGGGGGGAAGCAGUAGGGAAUCUUCCGCAAUGGGGGAAAGCUGGACGGAGCAACACCGCGGGAGGGAUGAAGGUCUUCGGAUCGUAAAACUCUGUUAUUAGGGAAAAACAAAUGUGUUAGUAACUAUGCACGUCUUGACGGUACCUAAUCAGAAAGCCACGGCUAACUACGUG